GGGUUGUGAGGUUAAGCGACUAAGCGUACACGGUGGAUGCCCUGGCAGUCAGAGGCGAUGAAGGACGUGCUAAUCUGCGAUAAGCGUCGGUAAGGUGAUAUGAACCGUUAUAACCGGCGAUUUCCGAAUGGGGAAACCCAGUGUGUUUCGACACACUAUCAUUAACUGAAUCCAUAGGUUAAUGAGGCGAACCGGGGGAACUGAAACAUCUAAGUACCCCGAGGAAAAGAAAUCAACCGAGAUUCCCCCAGUAGCGGCGAGCGAACGGGGAGGAGCCCAGAGCCUGAAUCAGUGUGUGUGUUAGUGGAAGCGUCUGGAAAGGCGCGCGAUACAGGGUGACAGCCCCGUACACAAAAAUGCACAUAUUGUGAGCUCGAUGAGUAGGGCGGGACACGUGGUAUCCUGUCUGAAUAUGGGGGGACCAUCCUCCAAGGCUAAAUACUCCUGACUGACCGAUAGUGAACCAGUACCGUGAGGGAAAGGCGAAAAGAACCCCGGCGAGGGGAGUGAAAAAGAACCUGAAACCGUGUACGUACAAGCAGUGGGAGCCUCUUUUAUGGGGUGACUGCGUACCUUUUGUAUAAUGGGUCAGCGACUUAUAUUCUGUAGCAAGGUUAACCGAAUAGGGGAGCCGAAGGGAAACCGAGUCUUAACUGGGCGUUAAGUUGCAGGGUAUAGACCCGAAACCCGGUGAUCUAGCCAUGGGCAGGUUGAAGGUUGGGUAACACUAACUGGAGGACCGAACCGACUAAUGUUGAAAAAUUAGCGGAUGACUUGUGGCUGGGGGUGAAAGGCCAAUCAAACCGGGAGAUAGCUGGUUCUCCCCGAAAGCU
rnacentral:rRNA from 1 species